rnacentral:rRNA from 1 species
UACAGAGGUCCCAAGCGUUGUUCGGAUUCACUGGGCGUAAAGGGUGCGUAGGUGGCCUGUUAAGUCGGGUGUGAAAUCUCCGGGCUCAACCCGGAAAGUGCAUUCGAAACUGGCGGGCUGGAGGAUGGGAGGGGGGACUGGAAUUCUCGGUGUAGCAGUGAAAUGCGUAGAUAUCGAGAGGAACACCAGUGGCGAAGGCGGGUCCCUGGACCAUUCCUGACACUGAGGCACGAAAGCUAGGGGAGCAAACAGG